rnacentral:lncRNA from 1 species
UUGUAGACUGCGAAGAACUGAGAAAAUGAGAACAAGUGAUCCAGAGCUUACGGGCUCCUCACACGGACCUGGGUUCAAAUGUGACCUUCGCCCCUUCCUAGCUCUGGGAGAGAGAACUUGACGCUGGAGAAACCUGGAGGUCACCACCUUAAUUAAGUGACCCAAUUUGACAUCACCAGUCACGGAACCAAGUCAAAGCCAAGCAGGUGCCACCUGGGGUCGUCUUGCCACUGACGAAUCUGGCUAUAAGGAAUCAUUGACCAAACCCAAAUUCUACAAAUUAAUUGACCCGAAAUCUUCAAAAGUGUCAAGGCCGGGAAAGGAGACACUGGUCACUGGUUCAGACUGGGAAGGCCCGACCACUCAGGAUUCUGACCUGGGUAUCUUGCAAUGAUGGGCAUUUUUGCUGGGACAGUUGGCAAAACUUGCCUGAGGCCUGUGGAGCUGCAGGUGGCAACGUCUGGCGCUAACUUCCUGAUUGGAUGGUUACACUGUGGUCGUGGAGGGGAAUGUCCUUGUUUGUAGAAAAUAAACACCAAAGAAUUUGGGGUGGUGGGGCCUCAAGUCAGCCACUUAUUCUCCGGCGGUUCCAGAAAGAAAGUUCUUGGUAUUAUUGUGAAGAUUUCCUAUACGUUUGCAAUUGUUUCGAAACUUUUACAACUCUUAGUAUAAAAACACGUGUAUAAAAUAAACAACAAAAGAAUUCCAAAAAUGAGACCAGCUGAGUGCAGCGUGUAGAUCUGACGGAGUACGUGCUCACCUA